GCUAGACAGGUACAUGGCGUCACCUUAGCCUCCUAAUCUUAUAGUCCCUGUGCCCUGGGCCUUCAAGCUUAGAGGCUAGCAUUCCUCACUGGAUACAGAGGUGACUGAAAGCACGGAGGAAGGAAAGAGGGAGAGAAGGCUAGAUAGAAGUGAAGGCAGCAUGAAAAAAGGCUUGGGAAAGAGGAAGGAAGAGGAGAACUGGAAGGGGAGACGAACAAUGAAGGUCUCAGGCCCUCGGAGGCGCACGGUUCCGGCUGCACGUCCAUCCGCCCGCCUCCGGCCAGCAGCUGCUCGCCGCGCAGCGUGUGGGCGCUGAGUCACUGCCCCUGCACAGCAAGCCCGCGUGCAGGUCGGGGAAGGGGGGAGAAGACGAAGGGAGGGGAGCCCAGUUGGCAUCUGCAAACUGCUUUUUCCCCCCCUUUCUUUCCUCUUUCAUUAAGACUAUGUGCUGACUCCCACGUAGAAGAACUUAUUAAACCGCACGUACUACUCUACCGCUCUUUGGGGGAGCACGCAUGGUGGCCAGCAGGGGGCGCUACAGCCCCGCUUAUGGACGUCAGGGCCCAGUGAAGACUUGGGCUGCUAGCUGAGGGUUUCCCAGAGCUGCUGUGCGAACGUUUUGCGGGUCCCCCACCCCCGGUAGCUUUUAACACCCACAGUUGGAGCAUAAACUCUACUUAGAAAGCCUUGGAUAUCAGUUUAAGUCUCCAAAGAGCGCCUUAGCUCAGGUCCAGUGAGCAACCCUAUAAAAUUGGGAGUAUAUUGCGCAACUUAAGGAGCCCAGGCUCGCCUAUUAGGGCUCACCCUACCCUACCCGGUCUGGUUGCCAUGCAAGGAGGUGAACUCGGGUAUCUCAGAGAACUCUUGACUCCCUCCCAGGACACGCGCUUUGUGCAUCCACAUGGACACCAGAGCUCACAACAGGUAUUCAAAGUGAAGAAAGAAAGCACGGCCCAAACUCACUUCUUUCGGAACUGCGAAGGAGUAUCUGGCCCUGCAGUGUCCGCGCCUAGGAAAGCGAGUGAACCCAAUAACAUCAGGGUGAUGGAAACCAGCUUCAUUCUGUGGCGAUGCUCUGAUACCCUGGAAAGGAACAAGACACCGAGUGUGAGCAACCGGGCCAGCAGCACGAUCCCGUCAGCACGCGAAGGGUGGCGGCAGGACGGGGAGCCGCUUGGCAGCGCUCUUCCUGGCUCAGCUGCUUAUCUCCCCCACUGGCGCAGAGAAACACCGGAGAUUUUUGCGCUGGCCGGGUGGGUGACAAGCAAGGCAAAGGAAGCCAUUGAGAAGUGCCAGGCUUCCAGAGGUUUCCAACUAAAGUCCCAGGAUCUCAGCCCAAGGAGGAGGGGGGAUCUCAAGAGAGCUCCAGCUGUGCGCAUGAGCUAGACCUGGGCAAUGAGGUGUUCUCUACAUUGGAUACCCUAAAGUGGGUUGUUCCCCCUUGUCCAGCUCUGCAAGUUUUGGGGCUUUGGCAAAGCCGUCCCCCUCCCUAACAUGCUGGAGGCCAGCGGUUCCUACCUGAUAAAGGGGUGCGUUGUCAAGCACUUGAAGCAGAAAGAAGUCCUUCUGACAGUAGCAAAACCCCAAAGUCCAAGAUUGACUGCGAUGAGAAGCCGAGAAACCAGGAGCGGGAGCGGUAACGCUGGAGUUGCUCUGUCUAGUGUCACCAAGAAACCACUGACUAGUGAGCACCAGCUCCAGCGUCUUAUAAGCGCUCAGGGGCGGACGGUGGGCGUGGUCAGAUUUGCCCUGGAGUCCUCCCUCUCCAGCGUGCUUGCUUCUAAAACCAGACCUGCCCUGCAGCUUGCCUUUGACAAAUCCCAGCCAGAUCCCAAUCGCUUUUGAUCUCUACACUCCCGAGCUGGUGUUCUCUUGAAUUAAAGUGAAGUGCCGAAAGGGGCCAAACUGGGCGACAGGCGUAGCUCCGCAUGCAGGUCUCCCGGAAGGUCCCGAAGCUAAAGACAUGACCUACGACAGCUCCUAGCCCCCAGCCCUGGUGAUGUGGACACAGACAACUCAUGUCCUCUUCCUGGCGACCCCGGCAGAUCUCCCAGUGUCCUACCUUAUCUGCCUCUAAGUGUUAGACCAAGAGCAAAACCGACUAGGCAUUCCUGUCCCGCGGACCUUGCUCACAGCGCAGACUAUGCUAAGCACUGCUGGUUCAGCCCGUUUGUCACCCUCCAGACAACCAUGGACAUUGCACCUGGGGGAGAAAUGGCCGCGCCGAGAUUACUUAUCCUCCUAAAACUGCAAAACGGAGUUCCCCCUUGGGCAGGGGACAGAUUCCCAGGUUCUGCUUCUGGUAGGGGCUUGGGACACGGAUGUUGAAAGGGCUGCAGCUAGGCGAACUGGCCCGCCUUAGGGCCUUCUGGGCCGUGGGACAGUCACCGCAGCAGCCCUGGCCAGUGGCUAGCCUGUCUGCACCAAGCAGCACAUGUAGCACAGAACCCUAGAACUUGACCCUAGAACUUUUUCUCGCUUCUGUCCCGUUCUGUACCCUUCCUUUCAUUUCAUCCCCGGAUUGUCUGUUGAUACCGCGCAGCUGUCAGUCUCUUUGAAGAUGCAACAUACCUGUUGCCAACUUGUGGCCGGGGUCACAUCAGGUUUUACUUUCAUUUCCCUGGCCCAGUCUGUCCAAGUCAAGGGCAGCCCAGCAUUGGCCUGCAGACAGGGCAAGUCUCCUGAGCUGGACUCCUUGGCUCUAGUCUCUACCAGCCUUGGGGGUGGGGAGGUCUGUCUGAAGAAAAUCCUGCCGCCUGGGCUGGACCUCGUUGCCUCCUCGCUUCCUCUUUGAGGAAACUCAGUGACCUGAGGUUAGCUCUGGCUUGGGACACGAUCGCCAAAUAUGUUCUUAGCCGACACUUUAUUAUUAUUAUUAUUAUUAUUAUUAUUAUUAGGAUAGGGUCCCCUGUAGCCAGGCUGGCCUAAAACUAACUGGCUAGAAGAUGACCUUGAACUUUUGAUCUUUCUGUUCCACCUCUAAUCAACUGAGCUAUACCCCAAACCCCUCAAAAUUCUUUUUAAGCCAUAGGUGGCUUCAACAAGGAAGCAAACAGAACCCAAAGGCGGAAGGAGGGACUCCCUGGCUUUGGCUCUACCGAGCUCCUGUGUGUGCGCGCGCCAGUAUAGGGCGCUGUGCCAAGAAUCCCCACCUGAGCGCCUUGGCAUGCGCCUUAUCAGACUGGGUGCUCUUUGCCGUGGUGGCACUUAAGAGAUUGUUGCCUGAGAACCAAGCCAAUUCUUUUUUUAGGUGAGCUCUCAGACUGGCAACUCGGAGAACUUUGUUAGAAAAAUCUUAGAAAGCGUGUAUAUGAUUGUGGUUUGCGUGGGUGGGGAACCUCUGCCAAUGUGCUCCCCAAAGUGCUAAAGGGCGUAAGCAAGAAAUAGAUGAGGAAUUCACCAUGUCUGGGUAUGUACUUCACCCUUCCUGUGAAAAUGAGUGGCCUUGCUUAAUCACCAGGGCAGGAGGAAAGGAGAUCACUAGAACAAAUUUUGGGUUCAAGGUCUAGAAACAAGGCAUCAGGGGUUCUUUCCACGAUGCUUUUACGCCCAUUCAAGUUCAGUGACUGUAAAUUCACAUUGAGCAAGAA